rnacentral:lncRNA from 1 species
UGUUAGUGCAAACAGACGUGUCUGGCAUGUGGGAAAGCUAGUGGGAGGCAUGUUGGCAAGAGGAGUGCGCAUGUUUGGAGUUACUGGCGCUUACCGUCCUUGCACGGGGUGGAAGCUUCCAGAGAUGUCUUUUAGGUAGGUGUGGGAAGGCUGAGAGAGAGAGAGUUUGGAACAGGAAAGGAGUCAGUUCUUGGAGGUUGAAAACGAGAGGUUUCCAGGGAUUUUUGCUCUCACCAGCCAAGAGUCCAGCCAGAGAAAACUUGUUCACUGGGCCCCAUCCGGGCUUCCAGUAUCAUUGUCUUAAGGAAGAGGUGCUGCAAGUCAUACGCCAAUCUUUGGGUCUGCGGGCCCAGUCCCAUCCCGGAUUCCCCAUAGUUUUUGCCCAGUGCAUUUUGUCCCAUGCAGAGCUAGCCUGUCAAACCAUACAAAAUAGACACCACUGACCAUAAUAGGCCACACCGUAGGGACCCAACACCUCCAUACUAGACCCUAAAGCCCAGGCCUAUCUGGGAGGCAGGUGACCUCAUUGGGACAUUUAUUCCCAAGGCUCCAAUAGAACCUACGGUUCUGAUUGCUGAGUCUGCCUCCUGCCUGCCAGUCCGGCCAGGCGAGUGCACCACCCUCCUGCAUGUGCAUCUACUGAGGCACACUGCUUCUGAGUUUACUUCAAAGGGUACACAGUUGCCAUCCUUAGAUUUACAACUUGUCUCCUGCAACAGAGGACAUGGGUGUCCCUACCAGUUACUGAGAGGCCUGGAAGGUAACUUGGAAGGCAGAAGUGAGCAGCUACUGCUACCGUGUGAUGAGAACGAGCCGGUGGAUGUCACUGGGACUCCUAAAUCACAGGGAUUUCCUAGUGUCCACUCAUCCCCGGCCAGCCUACUGUGGUCAGCAGGAGCCCUUCCCCCAGUUUCUCCCCUCCGCUCCCCACCUCAGCAGAGGAACGGAGACAAGGACAUUGGAUGCAGUAGGGGGGUCCGUGCAAGUGCUAACAUAUCUCCAGGAUCCUCGGUGGUGCUAACCUAUCUCCAUGUUUCUCAUAAUUCUAAUAGUGGAUUCUUUUUUAUAAGCCUCAUCACAAACACAGUGUCACCGGGGGAGGGACCCAGCCCCCUUGACCUGCCCCUUUCCAGGUGUCCUUUAUCACUUUGGUGGGACUCUUUGAUCUGUAGAAAUGACCUGUCUUGGCAUGCUUCUAGACUUCAACAUUUGGAUUGUUUUGUUUCCUAUUUUGUUCGUGUUUACAGGCAUCUUGUAUUUCCCUAAAGACUAAAUAAAGUUUUUGGCCUUUUUAACU